GAAGGCUGAAAUUCGCCUUCAUGAAGCCGGAAUUGCUAGUAAUGGCAGGUCAGCAUACUGCCGUGAAUACGUUCCCGGGCCUUGUACACACCGCCCGUCACACCAUGAGAGUUGGAGAUACCCGAAGCCUGUGAGCUAACAAACGAGGCAGCAGUCGAAGGUAGAAUCAAUGAUUGGGGUGAAGUCGUAACAAGGUAGC
rnacentral:rRNA from 1 species